rnacentral:rRNA from 1 species
AAAGCGUAAUAGCUCACUGGUCGAGUCGGCCUGCGCGGAAGAUGUAACGGGGCUAAACCAUGCACCGAAGCUGCGGCAGCGAACGUAUCACUUAAAGCGAUUCAGCGGGUUACGAUUGACGGAGCGAAGCGACGUCAAAGCGUAUACAAAGUCGAGUCGGUUUAAGGAUACGUUCGUUGGGUAGGGGAGCGUUCUGUAAGCCUGUGAAGGUGUGUCGUGAGGCAUGCUGGAGGUAUCAGAAGUGCGAAUGCUGACAUAAGUAACGAUAAAGCGGGUGAAAAGCCCGCUCGCCGGAAGACCAAGGGUUCCUGUCCAACGUUAAUCGGGGCAGGGUGAGUCGACCCCUAAGGCGAGGCCGAAAGGCGUAGUCGAUGGGAAACGGGUUAAUAUUCCCGUACUUGGUGUUACUGCGAAGGGGGGACGGAGAAGGCUAUGUUGGCCGGGCGACGGUUGUCCCGGUUUAAGCGUGUAGGUGUGUGUUCCAGGUAAAUCCGGUUCACUUUAACACUGAGGCGUGACGACGAGGCACUACGGUGCUGAAGCAACAAAUGCCCUGCUUCCAGGAAAAGCCUCUAAGCAUCAGGUAACAUCAAAUCGUACCCCAAACCGACACAGGUGGUCAGGUAGAGAAUACCAAGGCGCUUGAGAGAACUCGGGUGAAGGAACUAGGCAAAAUGGUGCCGUAACUUCGGGAGAAGGCACGCUGACACGUAGGUGAAGUGAUUUACUCAUGGAGCUGAAGUCAGUCGAAGAUACCAGCUGGCUGCAACUGUUUAUUAAAAACACAGCACUGUGCAAACACGAAAGUGGACGUAUACGGUGUGACGCCUGCCCGGUGCCGGAAGGUUAAUUGAUGGGGUCAGCGCAAGCGAAGCUCCUGAUCGAAGCCCCGGUAAACGGCGGCCGUAACUAUAACGGUCCUAAGGUAGCGAAAUUCCUUGUCGGGUAAGUUCCGACCUGCACGAAUGGCGUAAUGAUGGCCAGGCUGUCUCCACCCGAGACUCAGUGAAAUUGAACUCGCUGUGAAGAUGCAGUGUACCCGCGGCAAGACGGAAAGACCCCGUGAACCUUUACUAUAGCUUGACACUGAACAUUGAGCCUUGAUGUGUAG